rnacentral:snRNA from 1 species
UUGCUUUGGCAGUAUGUAUAUUAAAAUUGGAACAAUUCAGAGAAGAUUAACGUGGCCUCUGUGCAAGGAUGACAUGCAAAUUUGUGAAGUGUUCCACAUUUUU